UCUCUGGUGGCUCAGAUGGUAAAGAAUUUGCCUUCAAUGCAGAAGACCCAGGUUCAAUCCCUGGGUUGGGAA
rnacentral:tRNA from 1 species